AUUAUCCAGAGCAAUGGCCUAGCCUUCUUCCUUGGGUCAAACAAAUUUGCAAGAUCAUCAAGUAUAUGCUGCUUUUUAUGUCCUAAGAAUUCUUUCAAGAACAAGUUCAAGUCUGAAGACAAGCGGACUUAUCAUUGAUGAGACAUUUCCCACUGUACUUAAUGUUUUCAACCGCCUUGUUCAAGUUUUAUAUUCGAUAUUGGAGAUAGUAGAGAUUGUCAAGCUUAUUUCUAAAAUAUUUUGGUCAUCUAUACCUUUAUUCAGAGGUGUCCAAGCAACUCUUUGGUCCCCAACAUUUUUAAUGCUCGGAUGGUCCUGUUUUUAGCUAUGCUGGAAAGAUCAGUUGCUACGGAAGGGCAACUAACUAAUCCAGAACAAUGCAAAUCUAGGGAAUGGUGAAAAGUAAAGAAAUGGACAGUGCAUAUUAUGAAUUGACUAUACACAUGAUUUGGAGAUCCAAAGCUCUUAAGCCAGAGAACAAGCCUUCUGCACAAAUGUUUCGGAAGCAUUUUGCAGGGAAAAUUUAGAGUGCUAUCUUAACUUGUUGAAUGUUAUUUGUCAGGGUGGUUACCUUCCAGAUAGGCAUUUUUAAGUCCAAUACAUAUCAACUUUUAAAUCCACUUCUUGAUAUAGUGCUUUUUGAAAUAAUCUUCCCUCUUACGUGCUUCAAUGAUAAUGAUGAGAUCUCUGGUGUGAAGACCCUCAUGAAUAUGUCAGGAAAGUUUAUGAUAUUAUAAUUUAUGGAAGAUCUGUACAGGCCCUGCACUCCAUCCAUUGAUUGCAGAGCUAGUCGGAAACAUGGAAAAGAAAACCUCCAGAGAUUCCUUUCCUUUGUUAGAAAAAAGUUUGCUAGCUAUGAUGGGGUAGCUCAAUGCUACAAACCAUAUAGGCAGAAAGAUGGUGCUCUUUUAGCCAUUGGGGCCUUAUGAGAUAAGAUGAAGCGGACUGAGCCAUACAAACCUCAACUGGAACAAAUGCUAGUGCAGCAUGUAUUUCCUGAGUUUAAAAGCCAAGUUGGUCAUUUGAGAGAAAAGGUUUUUGUAUUUAUUUUAUUCUCCUUAUUGACUGUGCAAAAUUAAUAUACAGCAAAAUCUUUGGGCUGCUCUUUAAUUUUUCUGAACCGUGGAACUUGAGCCUUUUCACUUUUCUGUUAACUCAGUUUCGUUCUCAAAUAAUCUGGAUACAUCUUUUGGUUUGCUAAUUCUUCAGGAUUUCAAAAUUGAUUUAUUAUUCAUUAUAGUUCUA